AACGAACGCUGGCGGCAGGCCUAACACAUGCAAGUCGAACGGGCGUAGCAAUACGUCAGUGGCGGACGGGUGAGUAACACGUGGGAACAUGCCUUUUGGUUCGGAACAACUCGGGGAAUCUUGAGCUAAUACCGGAUACGCCCUUCGGGGGAAAGGUUUAUCGCCGAAAGAUUGGCCCGCGUUUGAUUAGCUAGUUGGGGAGGUAACGGCUCACCAAGGCGACGAUCAGUAGCUGGUCUGUGAGGAUGAUCAGCCACAUUGGGACUGAGACAAGGCCCAGUCUCCUACGUGAGGAAGCAGUGGGGAAUAUUGGACAAUGGGCGCAAGCCUGAUCCAGCCAUGCCGCGUGGGUGAUGAAGUCCCUAGGGUUGUAAAGCCCUUUCGGCGGGGAAGAUAAUGACGGUACCCGCAGAAGACGCCCCGGCUAACUUCGUGCCAGCCGCCGCCGUAA
rnacentral:rRNA from 1 species